rnacentral:rRNA from 1 species
UACGUAGGGUGCGAGCGUUGUCCGGAAUUAUUGGGCGUAAAGGGCUCGUAGGCGGUUUGUCGCGUCGGGAGUGAAAACACUGGGCUUAACUCAGUGCUGGCUUCCGAUACGGGCAGACUAGAGGUAUGCAGGGGAGAACGGAAUUCCUGGUGUAGCGGUGAAAUGCGCAGAUAUCAGGAGGAACACCGGUGGCGAAGGCGGGUCUCUGGGCCGAUACUGACGCUGAGGAGCGAAAGCGUGGGGAGCGAACAGG